GACUUUUAUUUGUGGUAUUUAUCAAACUAACCAUGUUUUGCAAAGUUAUAAAUGUAAAAAUAUUUCAAUUAAAAAUUUACUUUCAAUCCGAAUGGUUCUUGUCUGAGCUAAGUUACUAUCAAUGCGCCUCGAGGGGCCUACUGAGAGUUGCUUACAGCGCUCCAAGUGCCUGUUUGAAAAAGGUAUCGAUGUGACUUCGUGUCUGUUAUCUACGGCUGGCGGUGUGUAGAGGGGAAGUGACAUUUUUCGCCGGACGCGCCCUCUAUAUUUAUGGCGGGCAACUAAACCCGCACUGCAUCUACGUUUAUAAUAUCUUUGCCCGUGUUUCCUAUGACCAUGUGUUCCUCCAAGAGAUUCUACCUGAAAAUGAACUCGAUAUGCACUAGUGGUGCCAUCACUAUGAGUUUGCACAGACUAUUCAAACCAUCCUCGCAUUCCAUUUAAGGGCAUGUGACACACUCAAAUACCUAUAUUGCCAGACUCACUUUAUCAGUUCAUUGAUUUUUUUUUAAUUAGGUACUUUUUUGUAAAUAAAAUAUCAGACUGAAACUUAAGACCAUAAACUAAGUUUAUGUAUUGCAUUUGAGAAGGAAUUUCACUAACAAUUAUUUUCAAAGAAAUUAAAACUGGGACCAGUUUUUAAAAUAUUUUCUUUGUAACCUUGAAAUUUGUUAAACCUCGGAACUUUUUUUGGAUUUAAAAUAUCUGCGAAAUGUAAAAAACGUGCAUAAACGUAAUUUACUGUCGGCUCCUGCUUUUCUUGAAGUUUGAGGCCGAUAUUUUAAAAUGGACCCGGUUUUAAUUUAUUUGAAAAUAAUUUUGUGCAAAAUUCCUACUAAAAUGAAGUACAUAAACGUAAUUUAUGGUCUUCUGAUACUUUUUCCAACGUUUCAGUCAGAUAUUUUAUUUCAACAAAAGUUUCUAAGUUUAAAGAAAAUUCAGUAAUCUGAAAAAGUAAAGUCACAUGCCCUUGAAACCUGAAUUAUGACAUUUUUUUUAAUUUGCUGUAUGAAGAAAACAGUUACAGGAAAUGUUUUCUGUACUUUGUUUAUGCUGCGAAUAUGCUGAAUAAAACUGGACAUUUGCUACAAGUUAACAUAAGGUAAACGUCCCAGUCGUGGUGCCAAAUGUCUUAUUUUUAAUUUAAUUUAAUAUAAAUUAAUGUAAUUUCUAUUUGAUAUUAUAAAAUUCUAAAAAUAAGUGGGUUUUAUUAUUAAGUGUUACUUAUACCAUAUUUUUUAAAACAAUAUAUUUACAAAAUAUAUUUACAACGAAAAUUGAAAUGACUGUUCGCUUUUUUCUUCAGUCAGCAUUGAAAGUACUAUCUUAGCUCUGUAAACAUUUUUUAAAAAUUUUAAUAAGAAUAUGAAAAUAUUUUUUCAGUUUUUGAAGGCAUAUUAUUAUUUUUUAAAUUCAAACAAUUUUUUAGUAAAAUAUUUUCUUUCUCCUCGCCUCAAUUUUCAUUAGGUAGAAAUUGUUUGUAACAUACAUUAACGUAAGUUACUUUACAUUAUAGUUACUCAAAAAUUGGAACGCGUUACCAUUACGAAAAAAGUAACGUUUCGGGUAACGCGUUACUGUCAAACGCUCUGGUUCCAUUUUUAUAAAAAACGACCUAAAGACCUCACUAAACCUUCUCUAAAUGGAACAGUCCUCAUCGGAUGAGAAAAACGACAUUCACCAGUGAUUCAUAAAAUGCACGUGAUAUAUUCGCUAAACAUUUGUACACAACGUUUAUAUUUUUGAUUUUGUAAAUAUUUUUCAUUUGAUUGCACGAGAAUUAUUUAUAUCUCUCGGAGGUCGCUAAAUUACAUCCAGUCUCAAAUUGAAUACCAAUGUUUGUGUUUUGCAAAUAAGUGUGACAAGAAAAAUUUGUUGCUACAUUUUUAUUCAAAACUUACAAAAAUUGAAAAAGUAUGUAAUUUAAAAGCAGCCUUAACUGAGUUGAAAUAAAAUUCUCGUGCGUUCAGCU